rnacentral:rRNA from 1 species
UAGGGUUUGAUCCUGGCUCAGGACGAACGCUGGCGGCGUGCUUAACACAUGCAAGUCGAGCGAUGAAGUUUCUUCGGAAAUGGAUUAGCGGCGAACGGGUGAGGAACACGUGAAGAAUCUACCCUCCACUUUGGGAUAACACCGGGAAACCGGUGCUAAUACCGAAUAUUGAAACAUAAGUGGCAUCACUGAGUUUUGAAAGAAUUUCGGUGGAGGAUGACUUCGCGGCCUAUCAGCUAGUUGGUGAGGUAAUGGCUCACCAAGGCAACGACGGGUAGCCGGCCUGAGAGGGCGACCGGCCACACUGGGACUGAGACACGGCCCAGACUCCUACGGGAGGCAGCAGUGGGGAAUAUUGGGCAAUGGAGGAAACUCUGACCCAGCGACGCCGCGUGCGGGAUGAAGGCCUUCGGGUUGUAAACCGCUUUCAGUAGGGAAGAAGCGAAAGUGACGGUACCUACAAAAGAAGCACCGGCUAACUAUGUGCCAGCCGCCGCGGUAAUUC